GUGACUAAAUUUGGAACAAUACAGAGAAGAUUAGCAUAGCCCUGGCACAAGGAUGACACACAAAUUCGUGAAGUGUUCCAUAUGUUU
rnacentral:snRNA from 1 species